rnacentral:rRNA from 1 species
AUUGAACGCUGGCGGCAUGCCUUACACAUGCAAGUCGAACGGUAACAGGUCUUCGGAUGCUGACGAGUGGCGAACGGGUGAGUAAUACAUCGGAACGUGCCCGAUCGUGGGGGAUAACGAGGCGAAAGCUUUGCUAAUACCGCAUACGAUCUACGGAUGAAAGCGGGGGAUCUUCGGACCUCGCGCGGACGGAGCGGCCGAUGGCAGAUUAGGUAGUUGGUGGGAUAAAAGCUUACCAAGCCGACGAUCUGUAGCUGGUCUGAGAGGAUGGUCAGCCACACUGGGACUGAGACACGGCCCAGACUCCUACGGGAGGCAGCAGUGGGGAAUUUUGGACAAUGGGCGAAAGCCUGAUCCAGCCAUGCCGCGUGCAGGAUGAAGGCCUUUGGGUUGUAAACUGCUUUUGUACGGAACGAAAAGCCUCUUUCUAAUAAAGAGGGGUCAUGACGGUACCGUAAGAAUAAGCACCGGCUAACUACGUG